CAGGCUAGGGGUCGAAUCGGAGCUGUAGCCACUGGCCUACGCCAGAGCCACAGCAAUGCAGGAUCCGAGCUGCGUCUUCAACCUACACCACAGCUCAUGGCAACGCCAGACCCUCAACCCACUGAGCAAGGCCAGGGAUCAAACCUGCAACCCCAUGGUUCCUAGUCAGAUUCGUUAACCACUGAGCCACGACAGAAACUCCUGUUGUUGCAAUUUUUAUUCAUUUGCACAUGCUCAGCAGUUGGAACUAUGUCUGGAGCAAAGAUAAUUCUUUUAGGACUGCAACUGCCUGGCACAUGGAAGUUCCCAGGCUAGGGAUUGAAUAGGGACUAUAGCUGCUGGUCUAUGCCACAGCCACAGCCACACGGGACAGCCACAUCUGGGACCUACACCACAGCCACAGCCACACGGGACAGCCACAUCUGGGACCUACACCACAGCUCACAGCAACACCAGAUCCCUCACCCACCGAGCGAGGCCAGGGGUGCAACCUGCAUCCUCAUGGAUACUAGUCGGAUUCGUUUCUGAUGCGCCACAAUGGGAACUCCAACAAGGCCAAUUCUUAACAGAUAUUCGCUGUAUGAACUGAACACUGGAAAGAAGCAAGUCUGUGUGUUACCUGACCCGUUCAUUCUUCCACAAGACUGAACUCAACUGAUCAUUUACUUUGUGCAAUACACAAGUUAGCAGGCGUGCACGAUCUAAAUACUUAAUUAUUUUCAAUUGUUUACAUGAGCGGCUCCUGGUAUAUCCAGUUAUUUAAUAAUGAUACAAUCUACUUGUCAAAUGUUGCGAAAACCAAAAUGUAGCGUGAUUAGUAACUUGCUUGCAACCCUAAACCUUGUAAGAAAUGCGGACUAAAUCUGCCUCUGCCACUCGAAUUCCUUAAUUCUCAAACCGUCUGUGGUGAAACUCCCCAUCCAUCCCAGAAGUUUUGUAAUGUACAAUAAAAAGGAAUUACCGGAAGAGUAAAGAUGUAAGAAGGCACAAAUAAUACCAAGUGUGUUUGGUUACUAUUAGGCGCAACAAAAUUAUCAAACGGCCGAGUAUUUCUAAGUGCUUGCUCUCACUUUCUGCAUCUGUCUUAUCAGGAACAUCAAGCACCCACUGGCAUAUCCUCACAGGGCCCAGAACCACACUUGGUGUGGGGCCACCAAAAUCCAUCCACCUCCCCCUUCCAAACUCUUUCUCUACGUACUUUUGACACGAGCCUGCAACCUUCAAACGUGUCACUGCUUUGUACCACUGUCAUCACCUAUCUUAUUCACACGAAGUCCCCUGGACAGUAUGCCCCUUAUCCUACUACAGGUGGUGUGGUCCCUGAGACUGCAGGGUAAGAUCUACCAGAAACGUUACAGAAACACAUUUGUCUCCCAGGACGAGGCAACUUCUAAUGCUCACUUGCCCCUUCUAGAAAACCUUCCAACCACGUGAGACAACUGUGUGUGAGUGAACCUGCCGAUUAAGGGAGGCUGGGUGGGGAUGGGGGGAGGCAGAGCUCUUUUCAUCCCCUUGGUCACUUUUUGUCAAGAUGCUCCACAAAUGGGCAGCAGAAGCAGCAGUCUUCCUGUCAGACUUGUCACUGGGAGAGAGCGUGUGUCAGCAUAAACGGUUGUGUCCAAUGGUCGUCCAGGAAACAGUUUUGCCAUCUGUGUUUAAUCAAAUUCAUUGAGUUUUCACAGCAUUACAAGCAAUUCAUUACUGUCAUUUUCCCCACAGACGACUCUAUUCCUUAGCACCACUUACCCACUUAACACCUCCUGGCAAUGCCCAGUGCCAAGCAUCAGCCUCUACGGUGCCAAAAGUAAUAACUUCUGAUGCAGAGUGUGAACAGUGUGUUAUUAUAUUUAAUCUCCCCUCUGUGUGUUAUCAUUCAGCAUAACCAUCCUUCUGGAUUAUAGAAAAUUAGACGGCAAAUAACAUUGUUUUCUGUAUUGUUUUCUCCUCCCAGGUUCCGGGGUUCGCUGCCAACAACCAGCCACUCUCCGGACCCAAGGCAAACCAUGAGCUCCCAUCACAACACUGAUCAUUGCUCAAACCCUCACCGAACUGGAUUAUGUGCAAUGUACAUUAGCACUGCGUCUGUACACUAGCACUGAGUCUCCCUACGGUGAGUCUGCGAGGUUUUUUAGCAGGGAAAACCAUCCAGCAGAGCUGAUACAACAUAUCAUUUCGUUGCUCUCCAUCACAAUGGGGGGUUUGUUUUUCAUGCCUAAAUUCCUGUGUGGAUGGAAGUGUGGGAUGCACUGAACAUGCUGAGCAUAGCACACUGCUGAUUCCACUGUGAAAUCUUGGGCAGAUGAGCUGCGGCUGAUGACACUCAAAAAACCCCACUCAAGUCAGCACAGGGAAAAAAAUAGUAACAACAAAACCCAUCAAGAGUGAUGUGUAGCAUCUUGUGAGCAAAAGCUGGUUACUUGACCUAGGAUUUUUAUUUUUCAACUUUAAUACAGGUGCUAGGUAGAAAUCUGGUUCCCAAAAGUUUGACUUAAUGUGUGUCGCUGACUUUGAAAAGUGACUCCUCAUCUGUUUAUUUAGUGUCCUGUCAAUAAAGAUGUAUUAAGUGCCUCUUGGGGUUUUCAUUUUAGUGUUUCAAGACACCUAAUGUAAUAUUUGUCUAAUGAGUGUUCAGUGCAUUACGUUGAGUUUGCAAAAAAAGAAAAAAAAAUAACCAAAAUGCAUCAGCAUUAACCCAGGAUAAUCAUGCCUGUUUGAAUGCAAAGGAACACAUUAGCAAUAGCGUUCUGGUUAAUCGAAUGUCUCUGGCCUUUUGCUGUUUUCUUCAGAACAGCUUAUCGCUCUAAUAUUUCUAAGAAUAUAGUCUGGUAAUUGUAUCUUUACACUAUUGAUCACGGAUAUUUAUAUGACCCCCCCCCCGGCCCCGCCUAGAGCCUUUUCCAUUUUCCUUGCAGUUAGAUGGGGGUAUUAUGACGAGUUGUGACCCACAGUUUUCAGCAAGUCAAAGAAAGCAUAGCAGAAUGGGUAUGAAUUUUAUAGGCUCUGUCUUUCCCUCGAGUGAUGAGCACCAAAGACACAUAAUGAGAUGGUGGGACCCAAGAUGAGAAAGGUGUGAAUCUCUACGUCAGCAUUUCAAGAAAGUGGCCACGCAGAGCUACAAACCUGGAGUGGAAUUUGCAUGAGCAGGAAAUAAACUCUUCUGGUUAAGCCACUGAGGCUUUGAAGUGUGUCGCUGCCGCAGAGCUGAUCCUGACACCUCUGUCCAUAAUGAAGCUACCCUGGGUGACAUUUCUUAUCUGUGGCAUGGAAUUACAUCCAUACAAAAUGGAUUACCUGCUUGACCAUAAUUACAUAUUCUUAUUUGUGUGCAGGUUUUCCCAGUUCAUCAUGACUUCGUAAGUAUUUGCAAGAAAAUACAGUUUUUGAAAAGGUGGGAAGAGAAUCAGUCAGCACACUAAGUUGGGUUUCUUACUAAAAGAUUUCUUGGGGAGGCUGCCUACGACAGAGCCUAUGAAUACCUCAGCAUGAGAGAAGAGUCUUUCCUUGCCUCAGAUGGGAUGUUUUUCACUUAAUUUACGUGUCUGGGUAAAAAACAUAAAUCCCCUUCACCUUCAAGGAAAGGCUUUGGUCCUAAAGCAAUCACCUGAAGAAAGAAGCCAUUUUCUCAGAAACUUAAGUAUCUUCAUUACAACAUCAACAACAUUUAUUAUGUCCACUAUUUGGCAGGACACUCUCCCAACUGCUGGAAGAAUUUACAUAAUUUGGCCCCUGGGAUUUGUACAGUCCAAAGCAGCAGCACUAAACCCUCCCUCCCCUCUUGAGGACACACGCUGAGUGACCUUCCUGUGAAUGAUGCAUUUGCAUGUUCAAAGCCACAGUUAUGCACCAUUUCCAGAAAAAAAAAAAAAAGAAAAAGAAAAAAAAGUUGGUCAUUCUUCCUUUUCCCUUCCAGUCAAGAGAUGCAGCAUAACGCAAGUAAGCAAGAGGGAUUAUUCAAGGGAUAGCCUUGAAUGUGUCCUAUUUGUUUAAAGAACUACUUCGUGACCUCUGGCAUUUUAACUCUACAAGUAAAAAGUUAACUGGGUUUGGGAAACAACUGACUGUUACAUGAUAAGGAUGAUAAGGAGGACAGCGACGAGGGUUAAUAUUUGUGGAAUGUUUUCUACGUACAAAGCAACACUCCAAACACAUGUUAAUAUAGAUGCAGAGUUGUUCGUACAUCAACAUAGUUUUUCCUCGGUCCUACCACCAUCAUCUCAAAGGGAUUAUUAUUUCCCCCCAUGAGGCAGAAAGAGGAAGUGACUUGUACAACGUCGUGCAGCCAUGAAUGAGCAGAAUGAAUGUUAUGUCAUCUGCCUUCGAAGUUCACAUCCUUUUACAAGACUCAAACAUUAUAAAAUGGUAUCAUAAAAGACUUUGUCAUGAUAUUCAUAACUGAGAACAGCUAAGCAUCCAUAGACCGCUCUUAGUUUCCUGCUAGAUCCUGGGAAUCAAAUUUUCCCUUUUUCUGGAGGGACUGGGAAGAUUUACUACAAAGUCUCUUGCAAUCUUUUAGAAACUGGAACCAAGCAGGGCCCUGUGGGCUCCUGGGCACACAAGCCUUUCUGGGUCCCCCAUUACUUGCUUCUAGGGGAUAAACUUCAGCCUCCAUGACCUUCCCUGUGUUCCAAGGGGUAGGUUCAAGCCAUUGCUCAUCAGGGAAGGGAGGGAAUGCAGAGACCAGGGAGGAGCCAUCAAGAAACAAUAGUGCCAUUUGGGGGCAGGUCCUGGUGCCUCCUCAAGGCAUGUAGAUGACAAUAUCUCUGAGCUCUUCUGCAGAACUAACACCCCCAAGAAAUGGAGGAUGUGAACCAAGCCUUCUUUAUUCCAGAAAGAAGACUACCAGACCCCUGAACACCAGCUUUGAAAACAAGGCAAGCUUGCCUCUAUCCUGAUCCUUAUCUGCAGCCCUAUUGUUCACCCCCAAACUAUAAAACCCCACCUCCCGAUCUCUCCCAAGGGGGGACCAGUCUUUGAGGCAUUAGCCUGCUGUGACCCUCCUUUGCUGGCAAAGCAAUAAAGCUAUUUUUUUCUCCUUCACCCAAAACUCUGUCUCUGCAUUUCUAUUCCACACAGGUGAGCAGAGGCCGAGUUCUGGCAACAAAACCAGUACUCACUCUUGCCACCACAUCGAGGGAACGGCAGAAAGGAAAAGGGCACGUGGGGUAUUCCUCCUGUACAACAGAAGAUAGUUCUGGAGUCUGAGCUCUGGGAUUAAAAAUGGAAUUCUGUACCUGCUCUGCAGCCACUCUGCUCUUCGUUUAUUCAGCUGUCCACAAUUAUUGGUUGACUACGCCGUCUGCAUCUAGUCCAGGCCUUGCAGAGACAGCAUGGGACAGGCCAGGCCAGGU
rnacentral:lncRNA from 1 species